ACGAAGACGCAUCUUGCAGUCCUCAUUUUCAUGACAGCGUUAAAAAAGCACAUUUUUAUUCUACUGUAGGGGUGAUGGAAAAACUGUAAAAUGCUACACGUACAGUAGUACACAAACCCUUGCGCUCGCAACUGCGAAGCUCGGGAAUCGGGAUUUAUACGAAGAAGUUCAUCGAUGGAUACGAAGCAAUUUGAAAGUUGUACGAAGAGGAAUGUGACGAGUCUGAAGAAAAGUCAACCUCUCGAAGACUGCUUUGGUUCUACUCAUGGGCUGGAUGGGAUUCGCGGAAAACAGACGUAUCACGUGGGCAGCAGACCGCGGUGGCAUCAGAAGCCGACGAGUGGCGAAUAUACACAAGGCACGUAAAAGCUUUAAAGAAUGAACUACGAGUACGUACUCAGCCAUCCUAUGUAUCGUCGCGGAUAGGUCAUCCUCACAAGCGAGCCAGUGAAAAUGACGCAAAACACACACACACUGGCCGGGAGCCCCCGCGGAACGCCCAUGGAAAUCUGCAGAUAGCGCAGCAGGAAUCUCAA